rnacentral:lncRNA from 1 species
ACUCUUUGCGUCAGAGCUCUGUGUUACAAAAAAAGGUGAAGUCUUACUCAAUUCAACAGUUUUUAUGCAAAGUCCUCACGGGGAAGAGACUGAUGCCCUGCAAUGCCUCAGGACUCUCCAGAAUGUUUUCACCAGCAAAAAGGCCCUCAGCAGAUGCAGCCUCUCGACCUUGAACUUUCUAGCCUCCAAAAUGAGACAUCAUUCUGGCUGCAUUAUGAAUGGAUGGUUUGGAGGAAGAAUGUGGAUAGCUAAACAAGAAGGAGAAUAGAAAGAAACUACUCUUAAGACUAUUGCAAUAUCCAGUGUUAUCUCAGGACCAAGGAAUUAAUGGUGCAAUGUGCUUUGUUUCUGACUGCAGACUAUAAUGUUUAUUCCUAUUGGGGGCAGAGCAAGAUUUCAGUUUCUUUUCUCAGCAACAAGAAAAUACUCUGUCUGAAAUCAAGCAACUUCUGGGAAGACCAAGAGUGAUGGAAACUAGAGUUACAAAGCAAAAACCCUACAUCCUGAAUGCCCAGCCCGGUCAAUGAAAUUUUUCUGUCUCAUUUAUCAGCUAACUUGGUCCUCUUCCCCUGGGAACAAAACUGAGAAGGGUUAAGAGAUAAUGUGGAAACAAACUCCCCAGCACUUGCCUAAGAGGGCAGCUGUGUACCCAGACCUUCUUUCCUCUAUGUCAUUGUACUAGAAAGAGAGAGUUCCAUACUCUUUAAUCUGAAUAGUUGGCACUCACUUAAAAAAGAAUGCAGCCUGAUUCCUCUCUGCCCCUCUAGCUAUUUCCAGAAAGUUGUUCAUGGGAUGAAUUGGUAAGUAAAGAAUUCAGACACUGGUUCUGAUUAAGGGAUCUUAUAAAUGAUUUAUAACCUUUGGGAACAUCAAAGACAGCACUCAUAAGCCAGGCAAGCUAAGGGGUGCUCAGGAGUAAAAUGCACCUCCCCAUCUCACAAAUCCAUUGUUUUGAUGAAAGGAUAAGAGGCAGUUGGCCUGGGAAGGUGAAAAGGCAGGAAAAGAGUGGGAAGUCAGCUCCUAGGAUAAUAACCACAUCCACAGGCAUUGUCUCCUUUCACAUAUUUACAGCUUUUCUUUCUUAUCUUUCCACACCUCUAUAUUCAGUUAUGUAUGACCUACUAGCAAUUUACAGCUGCUUUAAAUGCAUACAUUUCAGGUAGGGUGUGUUGACUUAUGCCUGUAAUCCCAGCGCUUCGGGAGGCUGAGGUGGGUGGAUCACUUGAGGUCAGGAGUUCAAGAUCAGCCUGGCCAACAUGGCAAAACCCCAUCUCUACUAAAAAUACAAAAAUUAGCCAGUCUUGGUGGUGCACAGCUGUAAUCCCAGCUACUCGGGGGGCUGAGGCAGGAGAAUGGCUUGAACCCAGGAGGCAGAGGUUGCAGUGAGGUGAGAUCACACCACUGUACUCCAGUCUGGGCAACAGAAAGAGACUCCAUCUCAAACAAACAAACAAACAAAUAAAUAAAUAAAUGCAUACAUUGUAUCAGAAAUUAUCUCCCAUAUUGAUGAGUCUUCCAUGGGCAUCUAAUUUAAAUAUUUUUUUCUGAAAAGCAAAAGGUGCUCUAUUAUGUUGCUGGUGAGAGUGCAAAAUGGUAUAGCCUCUAAAGAGAUUAAUGUAACAAUAACUGUUAGAACCAUAUAUGCAAUCACCCUUUGACCUAGCAACCUCACUUCUAGGAAUUCAUCUUGAAGACAUAUCUCUCUAUAUGUAGGCAAAAUGGAAGCUAUUCAAUGUUACAUUGUUAGUAAUAGCAAGUUACUGUCUAUUUUUGUAUCUUUCAAAUACAUGUCUAUUUAUGUGAAAGGAUAAACUGUGGUUUAUCCACAAAAUGAAUUUUUAUGAAGUUGUAAAAAAGAAUGAGUGACAUGUCCAUGAACUGUCAUGGAGUGAUUUCCAGAACGUAUUUU